GAAAUUUUCUUCUUUGGGCCGUAUAAGAUUGAUCCCAGAGAAGUGUUCUUGGUCUCCAAGCAUUCCUUUGCUCUCGUGAAUCUAAAGCCCGUUGUUCCUGGUCAUAUCCUUUCUUUCCAGCAGAACUUUGCUCGUUUCACUUGUCUUCCUUGAUCUUUCUUUCUUUUUUUCUUUGUUUCUUUUUUAUACAUGUUCUUGUGAGCUCAAAGCGUGUGGUACCUCGUUUCACUGAUCUCAGCAGUGAAGAAGUUUGCGAUCUUUGGCUCACCGCGAGAAAUGUUGGUGAGAAAGUGGAGAAGCACUUUAAAGCAUCCUCGUUAACUUUGGCAAUACAGGACGGGCCACAAGCCGGCCAGACCGUCCCUCACGUACACAUCCAUGUCCUCCCGCGAAAAGCCAGCGACUUCGAGAAGAACGAUGAGAUCUACGACGCUAUCGAUGAUAAAGCGAAGGCAAUGAACGACCAUCUCAACCUUGACAAGGAGAGACGCGACCGGACAAUGGACGAGAUGGAGGCCGAGGCCAAAGACCUGAGAGCUCUCUUCGACUGAAGAAGAUCAAGGAAACACUAUAGAACCCUAUAAACUACAGACCAAUCAGUCAAUGAGUGGAGUAGUCACGUCAUGAAUCCAUAACGGAAGUUUCAAAGCCAUCUUUUUUCUGUAUAUGAGGAGCGAGUAUGUGGAACCUCUGGAGUGUGCUCGAUCAUCACCGGGACUCGCGAGAGAGAACACAGAGAGAAGAUGGAUCUUCUCUGCUGGAUGGUCAGUGUUUUAAGUUUUCACCUGCUUUGGAGCUCUGCAGGCUUGCAGGCACAGUUCGUGGGACAGACGUGUGAUCUGGAGAGUGAGUUCUCCACUCUCGUCCCGUGCCUGCCUUUCGUGCAAAUGCAAGACAAUAGUCCCUCGGACGAUUGCUGCGUUAGAGUUCAUGCAGUCCUCAAGGAUCACUUUCCUUGUAUGUGUACGCUCAUCGAUGGAGCUGGAGGCAUGGUCGGGCACAUCCUCAACGAUAUGAACUUCACCUUGGCGAUGGAGCUGCCAUCGCUCUGCGGCGUGAAAGGAUUUCAGCCAUCGGCUCAGUGCGGAUCCUUUGGUGGAAUCGGACCAUCACCAUUGUUCGCCAAUCCAAACUUCUCUGGAGCUUGGUCGAGAAAGGCCGGAGCUUGGGUCGUGGCAGUAGUAACUAUGGCGAUGGCAUCUCUCUUCAUGAAGCUGUGAAAAAGGAGAGCGUGAGUUUCGUGAGUUUUUGUGUGCAUAAUGGAUUUUUUUUUUUUUUUCUUUGGGCAUAGAUGGCUUUCGGUGUAAGAAAUGAAAGUGUUACUUA